CCUACGGGAGGCAGCAGUAAGGAAUAUUGGACAAUGGUGGCAACACUGAUCCAGCCAUGCCGCGUGCAGGAUGACGGUUCUAUGAAUUGUAAACUGCUUUUAUACGGGAAAAACCCUCAGAACGUGAUUCUGAGCUGAUUGUACUGUAAGAAUAAGGAUCGGCUAACUUCGUGCCAGCAGCCGCGGUAAGACGAAGGAUCCAAGCGUUAUCCGGAUUUAUUGGGUUUAAAGGGUGCGUAGGCGGACUCAUAAGUCAGUGGUGAAAUCCCAAAGCUUAACUUUGGAACUGCCAUUGAUACUGUAAGUCUUGAGUAUGUUUGAAGUGGGCGGAAUGUAUUGUGUAGCGGUGAAAUGCUUAGAUAUAAUGCAGAACACCAAUUGCGAAGGCAGCUCACUAAACCAUAACUGACGCUGAGGCACGAAAGCAUGGGGAGCAAACAGGAUUAGAUACCCUGGUAGUCCAUGCCCUAAACGAUGAAUACUCGAUAUGUGCGAUAUACAGUACGUGUCUAAGCGAAAGCAUUAAGAUUCCACCUGGGGAGUACGCUCGCAAGAGUGAAACUCAAAGGAAUUGAACGGCGNGAGAGNGCGACGGACGACACGAGGGGAGGAGG
rnacentral:rRNA from 1 species